rnacentral:rRNA from 1 species
UACGUAGGGAGCAAGCGUUGUCCGGAAUCAUUGGGCGUAAAGCGCGCGUAGGUGGCCAUGUAAGUCCGCUGUGAAAGUCAAAGGCUCAACCUUUGAAAGCCGGUGGAUACUGCAUGGCUAGAGUACGGAAGAGGCGAGUGGAAUUCCUGGUGUAGCGGUGGAAUGCGCAGAUAUCGGGAAGAACACCCGUGGCGAAGGCGGCUCUCUGGGACGGUACUGACGCUGAGACGCGAAAGCGUGGGGAGCGAACAGG